CAGCAGUGCUGGGGGACCCGGCGCACCCUCCGCAGCUGCUGGCCCGGGUGCUAAACCCCUCACUGCCCGGGCCGGCGGUGCCGGCGGGCUGCUCUCAGUGCGGGACCUCGGAGCCUGCGCCCACCCGGAACUAGCCGCGUUCAGCCCUGGUUCCCGCCCCCGCCUCUCCCGCCACACCUCUCCACAAGCAGAGGGAGCUGGCUUCAGCCUCAGCCAGCACAGAGAGGGGCCCCCAUAGCGCAGUGGCGGGCUGAAGGGCUCCUUGAGCAUGGCCAGAGUGGACGCCAAGGCUGAGGAGGCGCCGAGAGCCAGUGAGGGCUGCUAGCAUGUUGUCACCUCUCAAUACAUAAAACUACUGGAGGGUGGUUCCAAGAUGGCCAAAUAGGAACAGCUCCAGUCUACAGCUCCCAGCAUGAGUGAUGCAGAAGACGAAUGAUUUCUGCAUUUCCAACUCAGUAGAGAGCUGACUUUAGAGGGAUCAAGAAUAGCUUGCUGGAUGGAAGGAGGUCAUCUUUAGGAGCUGGCAUGAAUUGCUGUGUUUCAGAACAGUCCACGCAGAGGAAUGAGGAGAAGAGGAUUCAUCCAUUAGCUUCCAUCUCCCAUUGGUGAAAGCUUGCCCUGCAACUCCUCCACACUUCUGGGUUGUAUGACCUGUCCUGCUACAGCCACUAUGGAAAUCUGAACCCAUGUUAGUAGCCACCUCCUCAGCAUGACCUGCAGCUUAUGGGGCAUGCAGUAAGUAGGAGCAAGCCAAGCGCCCUGCGGGCUAGACCUCUGGCACACUGCAGAACCAGCAUGAACCAGGGCAGGUAGUGAACACCGAGAGGGUCCCAUGGUACUGCCCACCAUAGAGACUAAAACAGAGCCUUUGGCAAGAGGCAGGAGGCUCUAGGCAUGAGGUGUUUUCGGUCAUAGCCACACAUUACCUCAGAUUCCAG
rnacentral:lncRNA from 1 species